rnacentral:rRNA from 1 species
ACCCGCACAAGCGGUGGAUGAUGUGGAUUAAUUCGAUGCAACGCGAAAACCUUACCUACCCUUGACAUGUCCGGAAUCCCGAAGAGAUUUGGGAGUGCUCGCAAGAGAGCCGGAACACAGGUGCUGCAUGGCUGUCGUCAGCUCGUGUCGUGAGAUGUUGGGUUAAGUCCCGCAACGAGCGCAACCCUUGUCAUUAGUUGCCAUCAUUUGGUUGGGCACUCUAAUGAGACUGCCGGUGACAAACCGGAGGAAGUGGGGAUGACGUCAAGUCCUCAUGGCCCUUAUGGGUAGGGCUUCACACGUCAUACAAUGGUCGGUACAGAGGGUUGCCAACCCGCGAGGGGGAGCUAAUCCCACAAAGCCGAUCGUAGUCCGGAUCGCAGUCUGCAACUCGACUGCGUGAAGUCGGAAUCGCUAGUAAUCGUGGAUCAGCAUGUCACGGUGAAUACGUUCCCGGGCCUU